AAACCAUGCACCGAAGCUGCGGCAGCGACACUAUGUGUUGUUGGGUAGGGGAGCGUUCUGUAAGCCUGCGAAGGUGACCUGUGAGGGUUGCUGGAGGUAUCAGAAGUGCGAAUGCUGACAUAAGUAACGAUAAAGCGGGUGAAAAGCCCGCUCGCCGGAAGACCAAGGGUUCCUGUCCAACGUUAAUCGGGGCAGGGUGAGUCGACCC
rnacentral:rRNA from 1 species